GACGAACGCUGGCGGCGUGCCUAAUACAUGCAAGUAGAACGCUGAAGGAGGAGCUUGCUUUUCUGGAUGAGUUGCGAACGGGUGAGUAACGCGUAGGUAACCUGCCUGGUAGCGGGGGAUAACUAUUGGAAACGAUAGCUAAUACCGCAUAAUAGUAGAUGUUGCAUGACAUUUGCUUAAAAGUUGCAAUUGCGGCAGUUGGAGAUGGACCUGCGUUGUAUUAGCUAGUUGGUGGGGUAACGGCUCACCAAGGCAUCGACGCGUCGCCGGCCUGAGAGGGUGACCGGCCACAUUGGGACUGAGAUACGGCCCAGACUCCUACGGGAGGCAGCAGUGGGGAAUAUUGCACAAUGGGCGGAAGCCUGAUGCAGCAACGCCGCGUGCGGGAUGACGGCCUUCGGGUUGUAAACCGCUUUCGCCUGUGACGAAGCGUGAGUGACGGUAAUGGGUAAAGAAGCACCGGCUAACUACGUG
rnacentral:rRNA from 1 species